rnacentral:rRNA from 1 species
CUUGAACGCUGGCGGCAUGCCGAACACAUGCAAGUCGAACGAGUGGCGGACGGGUGAGUAAUGUCUGGGAAACUGCCUGAUGGAGGGGGAUAACUACUGGAAACGGUAGCUAAUACCGCAUACCAUCAGAUGUGCCCAGAUGGGAUUAGCUUGUUGGUGGGGUAACGGCUCACCAAGGCGACGAUCCCUAGCUGGUCUGAGAGGAUGACCAGCCACACUGGAAGUGAGACACGGUCCAGACGCCUACGGGAGGCAGCAGUGGGGAAUAUUGCACAAUGGGCGCAAGCCUGAUGCAGCAAUGCCGCGUGUAUGAAGAAGGCCUUCUGGUUGUAAAUUACGUUCAGCGGGGAGGCGUUACACGCAGAAGAAGCACCGGCUAACGCCGUGCCAGCAGCCGCGGUAAUUC